AGCAUGCUGUUUGAGAGUGGUGGUGGUGGGGGGGGAAGCUUGAUUGGAGUAUGUUGAGACAUAAUGGGAAAAGAGAAUUUGGAGGUAAGUAUUGAUCAUUAGCAAUAGCAACAAGAGCUACCAUAAGUCGAAAUGCCCCACAGUCUUUGGGGAUGUGAUACAUGAGGGAAGGCAGGGCUAGAUAGGAUGGGGUAGGAUCAAGAUAUCAGACGCAGGAGCUAUGAAUGGUGACUUCUUGAUGAAGGUAUAUAUCAGGUUAACACACAGUCAAAUGCAUAAACAGGUUGAUUUUAAUUGAUGUCAAUUUUUCUCCAUUGCCCCCUCUAGAGGCAAUGUUCUUUGGAGAAUCCCGGCUGGGUCUUCUCCUUUCCAUGCCCCUAGAGGGAGCUCCUGAGGCUGUGGACAUUGGUUAACAUGCUGACAUCACUGGAGGCCACAUCUUACAGGGCCAAGAGACAGAUUUGCUUGCCUUUUUCUCAUGCUUGCAAGCUCACUCAUCUGGAAAUGUGAUUUACCUCAGUCCUGCCAUGGUUUCCAGGCUUCUCAGUUUAGUGUCCCUUUGUCUCCUGGGAGCAAAGCACACAGCUGCUGGAGUUACUCAGUUCCCCAGCCACAGGGUAAUAGAGAAGGGCCAGGCUGUGACUCUGGGAUGUGACCCAAUUUCUGGACAUGAAUAUCUGCAUUGGUAUCGACGUGUUAUGGGAAAAGAAAUAAAAUUUCUGAUAAACUUUCUGAGAGACUCUAAACAGGAUGAGUCCGGUAUGCCCAAUAGUCGAUUCUCAGCUGAAAGGACCGGAGGGACAAAUUCCACUCUGAAGGUGCAGCCUGCAGAACUGGAGGAUUCUGGAAUUUAUUUCUGUGCCAGCAGCCUAGACACAGUGCUUCACAGUCAUGCCCUCGCUGUGCAAAACCAUAGCCUUCUCUCAACUCACACCUGCCCAAAAGGAAGGCUUUCCCUGUGCCUCCUCCCCCAAGGAAGGGGAGAUAAAGAACCAGAAUUAACUCUUGAAAAUACAAGAGUAUUCUAA